AAAUUCCCUGAGAUAGUAUUCGCUGAAAGGAAGAGCUAUCUCUUCCAUCUGGACCAGUAGGUUUUUCAAUUCCUUAUCAACAGAUAUCCAUUAAACUCCUGCCAUGUGUGCAGCACUAUAGAGUGAAAAUAUUGGCCACAUCUCCAUCUUAGACUAGGAGCUCCAUGGAGGGUCGGGAUCAUAUUGUUUCCUUCUGGAAUUCCACAGAGGACUGUGAUAAUCAGAAUGCAAGGUCCAUUAUAAAAACAACUAACAUUUAUUGAAUGCUUAGUAUGUGUUGGCAUUGAACCAAAUGAUUUACAUGUAUUUUCGUUUAAUACACAUAACAACCCUAUGAGGUCGACACUAUUAUUACUCCUACUUUAUAGACAAGGAAGCUGAAACUUAAGAAAUUAAGUAGCGAAAACUCAUGCAGCUCUGAAGUGUCAGAAUUCCUGGAUUCCAAAUUUGGAAUCACUGCCUUGCCAUGGACUGCGAGCAGUGCCAGUUCCCAGAGGCAGCCCCAGCACAGCAUGCGCCAUUAAACAACCUAUCUUCGUAGCUCCGUUAUGAUCACUGGGGUUUCCCCCAGUCCCUCCCCUUGUUAUCCAAGAUGACAGAUAAGAGUUAGAGGUAUGAGUCACCGAGAGAAAACCUAGGAUCUUUCUAAACCAAGUGCCACAGAUUUUGGUUCAGAUGGACAGCACUGAGUUUGAUGCCUCACAAUUGCUGUGUUCCCCCUCCACCAGUGCCCAGGAUGCUCUCCAACAAGGCUGUCUCUGCCGGGCAUGGGGGAAGAGUGGUGUCAGUGAUCCAGGACUGUUUUUUCUAUCUUCAGUGCCUCUGUCAGCAAUAUGAAGUUAAAACCAGUUUUCACCCUUUCCUUCCUCUCCAUGACCACCACUCCUUGCAGUAGCCUAUCUUGUUAGCAGCCAUGGGAGAUGAGGACUGGGCCAUGCCGCACAGCAGGUAGCCCAAACUAAGCAACAGGAUAAAAGAGAAGUUGAGAAUGGACUGACUCAAGUCAUGCAGGAGUCUUGGGAAAAGAAGUGAUCUGGCACUCCUUCAAACCAAUAUUCUUUAAAUAGCUGAGGGCAGAGAGAAAUUCAUUUUCUAUUAAUAUAAAAUGUAUAGCUCUUUAUGGUCAAAAUAAAGAAUUUAUUAUAUGCACUGAA